CUUAUGUUCCGUGACACGAAAGAACAGGAUGGUUGGUUUUAGGAAGAGGUCAUGGGUGGUCUUACGUUUCCGUCACACGUGGGAAGAACGGGACGGCUGGGUUUAGGAAACGGUCGAGGGUGGGCUAACGGUUGCGUGACACACAGGAUUAACAGAACAGUUAAACAAGAAACCGACUUUAGGAAAGGUGCCACGCGGAAGACAACCCCUCCUGGGUCAAAGGCUUGUGUUUAACCCAUCCACCACCCCAAACAACGUCCCUGCGUGGAAUUUCUGCCUUACAUACUACUCACUAAACCCCGGGUAGCUGCUGCUCUCCCCAGUAACUUCUACAAACAAACUGAAG